rnacentral:rRNA from 1 species
GAAGGUGGCUAGCGUUGUUCGGUGUUACUGGGCUUAAAGAGUGCGUAGGCAGAAAAGUAAGUGCUUUGUGAAAGCCCCCGGGCUCAACCGGGGGAAUUGCUUGGCAAACUGCUUUUCUUGAGGCAAGUAGGGGUGCAUGGAACUCUUGGUGGAGCGGUGGAAUGCGUAGAUAUCAAGAGGAACGCCAAUGGAGAAAUCAGUGCACUGGGCUUGCCCUGACGCUGAGGCACGAAAGCGUGGGGAGCGAACGGGAUUAGAUACCCCGGUAGUCCACGCCGUAAACGAUGUCUACUAGGUUGUGGAAGUUCUGACGCUGUCGCGACCGGAGCAAAAGUGUUAAGUAGACCGCCUGGGGAGUACGGCCGCAAGGCUA